UACGGAGGGUGCAAGCGUUGUCCGGAAUCACUGGGCGUAAAGGGCGCGUAGGCGGCUAUGUAAGUCACUUGUGAAAUCCCGGGGCUCAACUCCGGGGCCGCAGGUGAGACUGUGUGGCUAGAGCAUGGUAGAGGCGAGUGGAAUUCCCGGUGUAGCGGUGGAAUGCGUAGAUAUCGGGAAGAACACCAGUGGCGAAGGCGGCUCACUGGCCCGGUACUGACGCUGAGGUGCGAAAGCGUGGGGAGCAAACAGG
rnacentral:rRNA from 1 species